CUAUUACUCCCUCCGUUCCGGAUUACUUGUCUUCGAUUUGUCUAGAUAUAGAGGUAUCUAACACUAAAAUGAAUCUAGAUACAUCCGUAUCUAGACAAAUUUCAAGACAAGUAAUUCGGAACGGAGGGAGUAUAUU
rfam:Triticum urartu cultivar G1812 contig894549, whole genome shotgun sequence.